rnacentral:rRNA from 1 species
UACAGAGGUCUCAAGCGUUGUUCGGAUUCAUUGGGCGUAAAGGGUGUGUAGGUGGCGCCGUAAGUCGGGUGUGAAAUUUCGGAGCUUAACUCCGAAACUGCAUUCGAUACUGGCGUGCUUGAGGACUGGAGAGGAGACUGGAAUUUACGGUGUAGCGGUGAAAUGCGUAGAUAUCGUAAGGAAGACCAGUGGCGAAGGCGGGUCUCUGGACAGUUCCUGACGCUGAGGCACGAAGGUCAGGGGAGCAAACGGG